rnacentral:pre_miRNA from 1 species
UACAAUAUUUGACUCUUUAUCUUAUUUAAAAUUUUUGUGAUUAAUAUUUUUAUUGUUAUUAGAUGAUAAAACAUGAAAUUACUUUAAGUGUGACUAACUUUUUGAAUUUUUUGUAAUUUUUUCAAAUAAGACGGGUGGUUAAACAUUGGAAACAAAGAGC